rnacentral:rRNA from 1 species
UACGAAGGGGGCUAGCGUUGCUCGGAAUCACUGGGCGUAAAGGGUGCGUAGGCGGGUCUUUAAGUCAGGGGGGAAAUCCUGGAGCUCAACUCCAGAACUGCCUUUGAUACUGAAGAUCUUGAGUUCGGGAGAGGUGAGUGGAACUGCGAGUGUAGAGGUGAAAUUCGUAGAUAUUCGCAAGAACACCAGUGGCGAAGGCGGCUCACUGGCCCGAUACUGACGCUGAGGCACGAAAGCGUGGGGAGCAAACGGG